rnacentral:rRNA from 1 species
GUCUGUAGCUGAACAUGACAGUCGNACGAUGAUCCCCGCUUGCUGGGGGAUUAGUGGCGAACGGGUGAGUAACACGUGAGUAACCUGCCCUUGACUCUGGGAUAAGCCUGGGAAACUGGGUCUAAUACCGGAUACGACCAUUCCACGCAUGUGGUGGUGGUGGAAAGCUUUUGUGGUUUUGGAUGGACUCGCGGCCUAUCAGCUUGUUGGUGGGGUAAUGGCCUACCAAGGCGACAACGGGUAGCCGGCCUGAGAGGGUGACCGGCCACACUGGGACUGAGACACGGCCCAAACUCCUACGGGAGGCAGCAGUGGGGAAUAUUGCACAAUGGGCGCAAGCCUGAUGCAGCGACGCCGCGUGAGGGAUGACGGCCUUCGGGUUGUAAACCUCUUUCAGUAGGGAAGAAGCGUAAGUGACGGUACCUGCAAAAAAAGCGCCGGCUAACUACGUGCCAGCAGCCGCGGUAAUACGUAGGGCGCAAGCGUUAUCCGGAAUUAUUGGGCGUAAAGAGCUCGUAGGCGGUUUGUCGCGUCUGCUGUGAAAGACCGGGGCUCAACUCCGGUUCUGCAGUGGGUACGGGCAGACUAGAGUGCAGUAGGGGAGACUGGAAUUCCUGGUGUAGCGGUGAAAUGCGCAAAUAUCAGGAGGAACACCGAUGGCGAAGGCAGGUCUCUGGGCUGUAACUGACGCUGAGGAGCGAAAGCAUGGGGAGCGAACAGGAUUAGAUACCCUGGUAGUCCAUGCCGUAAACGUUGGGCACUAGGUGUGGGGGACAUUCCACGUUUUCCGCGCCGUAGCUAACGCAUUAAGUGCCCCGCCUGGGGAGUACGGCCGCAAGGCUAAAA